UGACUGCGUACCUUUUGUAUAAUGGGUCAGCGACUUAUAUUCUGUAGCAAGGUUAACCGAAUAGGGGAGCCGGAGGGAAACCGAGUCUUAAUUGGGCGUUAAGUUGCAGGGUAUAGACCCGAAACCCGGUGAUCUAGCCAUGGGCAGGUUGAAGGUUGGGUAACACUAACUGGAGGACCGAACCGACUAAUGUUGAAAAAUUAGCGGAUGACCUGUGGCUGGGGGUGAAAGGCCAAUCAAACCGGGAGAUAGCUGGUUCUCCCCGAAAGCUAUUUAGGUAGCGCCUCGUGAAUUCAUCUCCGGGGGUAGAGCACUGUUUCGGCUAGGGGGCCAUCCCGGCUUACCAACCCGAUGCAAACUGCGAAUACCGGAGAAUGUUAUCACGGGAGACACACGGCGGGUGCUAACGUCCGUCGUGAAGAGGGAAACAACCCAGACCGCCAGCUAAGGUCCCAAAGUCAUGGUUAAGUGGGAAACGAUGUGGGAAGGCCCAGACAGCCAGGAUGUUGGCUUAGAAGCAGCCAUCAUUUAAAGAAAGCGUAAUAGCUCACUGGUCGAGUCGGCCUGCGCGGAAGAUGUAACGGGGCUAAACCAUGCACCGAAGCUGCGGCAGCGA
rnacentral:rRNA from 5 species